CCGCCACUUCACUUCAUACUUGCUGCUCGUGUCUGAUUGGUUGGUUGUUUUCGCCGUGGAAUGUGGCCGGAAAUUUCAAGUAAGUGGGCGGAAUUAAUUUUUAUUAAGGACGGUUGCAGGCGCUUUAUUUUUCCUUCGCCCUUUAUUUUUCGCCGGUUUUUUUCCGCCCUUUUUUUUCUUCGUCCAUUUUUCUAACUCGCCAUUUAUUCAAAAAUCCUCAAAACCUACAAUAAAAUAAAGCGACUGCUACGCAGGCUAGGGUUAGGG